CCCGGCAGGGAGGUGCCGGGCCAGGGGGCCAACGCGGCGGCGGCGGGCGGCUUGGAGCCCGUCCAUCCCGCCAGCCUGCCGGACUCGUCCCUCGCCGCCAGCGUCCCGUUGUGUUGUACCCUCUGCCACGAGCGCCUGGAAGACACCCACUUCGUGCAGUGCCCCUCCGUCCCCUCCCACAAGUUCUGCUUCCCCUGCUCCCGGCAGAGCAUCAAGCAGCAGGGAGCCAGCGGGGAGGUGUAUUGCCCCAGCGGGGAGAAGUGUCCCCUGGUCGGCUCCAACGUCCCCUGGGCCUUCAUGCAAGGGGAGAUCGCCACCAUCCUGGCCGGAGAUGUGAAAGUGAAAAAGGAGAGGGACUCGUGACUCGCCUGCGCUCGCCGCCCGAUGUCACCUUGAACUCGAACUGCUCGAAUUCUGUAUAUAUCUAUAAAUAUAUAUAUAUAAAUAUAUAUAUAUAUCUCCAAGACAAGGGAAAUGUAGACUUCAUAAACAUGGCUGUAUAAUUUUGAUUUUUUUGAAUACAUUGUGUUUCUAUAUUUUUUGAAGACAAAAGGUGUCCCAGCUGUGAGCGUGCCGAGGGUGAGACCUGCUCCUGACAAAGUACUCCCUUGUUUUGGGGCCGAGGGACAUUGGUGUAGGGAAGCACGCCUUCCUCCUCCUCCUGCCAGCCGUUCCCUCCUGCAGCUCUGUGACUCUUGGAGAGGAUGGAAACUCCCCGGCCGGUGAUGCCAGGCAGUGGCCCAGAAACAACAUAGAUGGAAAAGAAAUGGCACACGGUGGCUAUGCUCACUCAGCUGACUGUGAGCCCCCAGUCAAGUCUAAUCUCCACCAUAAAACUUCAGAACUGCAAAAGAAAAACAAAAACCCCACAAAAAAAAAACCCCCAACAACAACAACAAUAUGACAAAAAAAAGAAAAAAAGAAAAAAAGAAUUAAAAAAAAAAAUUGAGGCUGUUCAUACAUAGCUCAUUUUUCUCACAUUGAAUGUUCCUUUUUCCUUUUGGUUGCUUUGCUCAAUUACAAUAAUGCUCCAGUGGAUUCUCCCUUUAUCUACCUGGGCUACAAGCUUUUUUCUUUUUUUUUUUUCCUAUUAUUUUGAAGUGCUUUAGCUGCAACAGUGCUACUGUUAAUAUUCCUUUUUAAACUUUUUAGAAGGUGAUACUGUAACUUGUGUAGUAUUAAAAGUGUUUUAAUGAAGAA